GACGAACCGUCCAAACGUUAUUCGGAAUUACUGGGCUUAAAGGGUUCGUAGGCGGCUUUGUAAGUGAGAUGUGAAAUCCCACGGCUCAACCGUGGAAGUGCAUUUCAUACUGCAAGGCUUGAGGGAGACAGAGGUAAGCGGAACUGAUGGUGGAGCGGUGAAAUGCGUUGAUAUCAUCAGGAACACCGGUGGCGAAAGCGGCUUACUGGGUCUCUUCUGACGCUGAGGAACGAAAGCCAGGGGAGCGAACGGG
rnacentral:rRNA from 2 species